GGCAGCACCUGGUGUCGGUGUGUCCUGAGUCUAUCUGCUGUCAGGAGGCUGACCUGGACCAUACCGUGCGUGGUGAAGCAUGUGUAACAAAUUUUCGCACAUUUGGAGUACUGUGCCGGGAAGAGGACGUGCUUUCCCUGAAGGAUGUCCGAGCUGAAGGAUGUCCGAGCGGAGACACCGGAGCGUCCUGUCAACAGCAGUCUCUUUAGGUUGACUGCAUCCAGGAAGUUAACCCUUUGGGCCAGGGGGCCUUUGGGGAAGAAGAACAGGAUCCUGACUCCAGCCUGUCAUCCACUCCAUCAGAGCUGUUUCCCCCUGAUAAACACUACUUCACCUAAGGGACUUGAGUAUCCAGUUCUUCGUUGACCUUCAGCAUUCAGUUGUUUGUCUUCACCUUUUCAGGUAAGCAAUUUAAAAAAAAUGCUUUUGUAAUGUUGAGAAACACUGAAAUUAUUAUUCAUAAAGAACUUUCAACCACUGUUCUGUGAUGUCAUGUAUAGUGAUAUACAAAUAUAUCUGAAGGAAAGGUGUAUUUGGGAUAAUCAAUAUUAUUAGUAUUAUUCAUGUAUUUAUUUAUUUUUAAAUCAGAGAAUGGGGGGGAAAAAGAUUAUUAGUACAAAAACUAGUAACUAGUAAAAAAAAAAUUGGUAACAAUAAUGUUCAUUCAUUAAUUGACGCUUGGUCAAACUCAUCUAAUUAAGUAUUGCUGUGUCAUUAACAUGUUGUAUUUAUUUAUUUUGUAGGCUAAAACUUGAGAAGCCAUCACCAUGUUGUUGUUUGUUGUAUUUCACAUUAUGCAGAUUUUUCAGCACUUGGUCCUCCAUAUAUAUUAUAGAAGUCACUGCAUUUUCUGACUUUUCCAGGUUUCCUGUGUCCAGCAUCUUCAAGACAGACUAAGCUAACUUUUCAUAUUUUUUGCACAUUUAUAUUUAGGUUAAUUUUUAACUUUCUUUUAAACCAACCAUUGCACACACUUCCAUCCAAGGAGAGGUUACAUCUUGAUGGUAACUUUUUAGAUUAACAAAACUUUUGUGAGAUUUGUAAUUGUUGUUUCUGGGGAGGGGGCGGAGAGGGUAAGUCUAAACAUUGCAUGCAAGAGACCAAUACCGGCGUCUCAGGGGAAAGCUAUCUGUAUACACAACUAUCAAUCUACUUGGUUGCUUCAAAAUUUUAAGAUAGUUUGCAAAUAACCCAGAGAGAAGCACAUCAAACAAACAAAAAAAGCAAUGGUAGAUUUUCAAGGCCUUUCAAUGACAUUAACAUUAUUUUCAAUGACAUUCAUUUUGCAAUUAACAUUAGUUUUAUCUUCUAAAACAUUACUAUAAUGACAUUCAAAUGUAGAUUACCACAAACACAAUAAUAAACUUCAAGUCUCAUUGGAUAAAAUAAAAAAUUAUUGACAGUCCUGAAAUGAUGGGUUAAACAUCCUUAAUAAGCCCACAUUAAUAAUAUAUUAAUUUCAGGUGAAAUACUUAUAUUUUUACUUUAAAUUCUAAUCUCAUUUAAAGAAAUUGACACUAUAUAGUACUUUUCAUAUGAAAUUAUGUAAAAACAAAGAGAAAAGAAAAGAUAAGUCUAAAACUAAAAAGUGGUCUUCCUCGUCUCGCAUGGUCUCAGUAGCAGUCACAGGUUUGCAUGGUCUCAGUGGCAGU